CUUGCCCUACGGGGGGCAGCAGUGGGGAAUAUUGCACAAUGGAGGGAACUCUGAUGCAGCGACGCCGCGUGAGUGAAGAAGUAAUUCGUUAUGUAAAGCUCUAUCAGCAGGGAAGAAAGUGACGGUACCUGAAAAAGAAGCUCCGGCUAAAUACGUGCCAGCAGCCGCGGUAAUACGUAUGGAGCAAGCGUUAUCCGGAUUUACUGGGUGUAAAGGGAGUGUAGGUGGCAGAGCAAGUCCGACGUGA
rnacentral:rRNA from 1 species